GACGAAGGGGGCUAGCGUUGUUCGGAAUUACUGGGCGUAAGCGCGUGUAGGCGGUUGUCCAAGUUGGAUGUGAAAGCCUUGAGCUCAACUCAAGAAAUGCAUUCAGGACUGGAUGACUAGAGGACCGGAGAGGGUAGUGGAAUUCCCGGUGUAGUGGUGAAAUGCGUAGAUAUCGGGAGGAACACCAGUGGCGAAGGCGACUACCUGGCCUGUUCUUGACGCUGAGGCGCGAAAGCUAGGGGAGCAAACGGG
rnacentral:rRNA from 1 species